GGAAUUUUGCGCAAUGGGGGAAACCCUGACGCAGCAAUACCGCGUGUGGGAUGAAGGCCUUCGGGUCGUAAACCACUUUUUUCGGGGACGAUAAUGACGGUACCCGAAGAAUAAGCCACGGCUAACUACGUGCCAGCAGCCGCGGUAAUACGUAGGUGGCAAGCGUUGUCCGGAUUUACUGGGCGUAAAGCGCGCGCAGGCGGUGAAUGAAGUCGAAAGUGAAAGCCCCGGGCUCAACUCGGGAACUGCUUUCGAAACCAGUUCACUUGAAGGCGGAAGAGGGAAGCGGAAUUCCGAGUGUAGUGGUGGAAUGCGUAGAUAUUCGGAAGAACACCAGAGGCGAAGGCGACUUCCUGGUCCGAUCUUGACGCUGAGGCGCGAAAGCUAGGGGAGCAAACGGGAUUAGAUACCCCGGUAGUCCUAGCUGUAAACGAUGGAUACUAGGUGUUGGAGGUUUUAACCCCUCCGGUGCCGCAGCUAACGCAUUAAGUAUCCCGCCUGGGGAGUACGGCCGCAAGGCUAAAACUCAAAGGAAUUGACGG
rnacentral:rRNA from 1 species